rnacentral:rRNA from 1 species
GAUGAACGCUGGCGGCGUGCCUAAUACAUGCCAGUCGAGCGAACAGAUGAGGAGCUUGCUCCUCUGACGUUAGCGGCGGACGGGUGAGUAACACGUGGAUAACCUACCUAUAAGACUGGGAUAACUUCGGGAAACCGGAGCUAAUACCGGAUAAUAUAUUGAACCGCAUGGUUCAAUAGUGAAAGGCGGUUUUGCUGUCACUUAUAGAUGGAUCCGCGCCGCAUUAGCUAGUUGGUAAGGUAACGGCUUACCAAGGCAACGAUGCGUAGCCGACCUGAGAGGGUGAUCGGCCACACUGGAACUGAGACACGGUCCAGACUCCUACGGGAGGCAGCAGUAGGGAAUCUUCCGCAAUGGGCGAAAGCCUGACGGAGCAACGCCGCGUGAGUGAUGAAGGUCUUCGGAUCGUAAAACUCUGCUAUUAGGGAAGAACAAAUGUGUAAGUAACUAUGCACGUCUUGACGGUACCUAAUCAGAAAGCCACGGCUAACUACGUG